AAAAUAUGGAAAUUCAUAAGUUAUGCCUUAUGAAACACCAAAAGUUCAUUUCAUAAUCGUUUCAUAAGGUCCCUAUGAAAUUCAUAAUCAGUAGUAUAAAUUACAUACAUGUGCCUUAUGAAUAAAAAUGUCUUUCCUUAUGAAUAGAAAUCAUAAGGUAAUCUUAUGUUAUUUCAUGUGUUCAUUCCUGGUUCACUGCGAGGAAAAUGUCAACGUCAUUGUUUUCUUUUUGCAACACGGUUGACCACAUGUUUUAUAAUUUAGCUUAUUCACAAAAAACUAAUGCCCAGGUUCCGGAUGAUCUUCUGUUAUCACAUGGAGCAGAUCCGGUGUUUUCUGGUCCUUUCAGCAGAACCAAUGGAUGCGGCAAAGGCUCAAUGUUAGGGGCCAUAGAUGAGAAGCUGCUGUACUGUUGCUGUCUGUCCCAUUAAAUUCCGUUAUAACGUUAUAGCGGUAUACCGACGCCGAUAACAUCUUGGAUAACAUAUGUUAUGCACAAUGUCAGCUUACUCGGCACCAAGUUAGCCCACAAACGCCAGCUUACUAUUUAUCCUGCCACACUAAAAUUGCUCUGAAAAAUGUCAUCGGUAGCAUCAACAAAGUAUGAGUUUCCUGAAACGGAUAUGUGUCCCCUAGACUGUGAAUCCACAAGAAAAUGACAUGUUGGAUGCAGUAAUGCUAGUUGCAAGCAGCCAUGGACCAAGUUCGGUAUGUUUGUUGCAAGGCUAUAUCACUCGGGAACAAGAAAACAACCCAGAAUGGAGAAGAUCAUCGUAAGAUUUUGCCCUGAAAAAAUAAAUCCCGCGAUGGGUGGAGAAAAUCAUUUAAAGAUCAACUCAGAUCGGUCGAAGUUUCAUUGACGUCAAAGGAUACAAGGAUCGGUUCUUUAGAUAUCUUAUCUCAGCACCCCUGUUCAGGAGAGGGUUCUUUUACUGAUGCUGCGUUGCUGCAUUGCGACUAAAUUGAAGUCAAUCUCACGUGAACGGGCCAGUAUGAAUCUUGAACAUCGUAUUAGCGAGGAAAACCGGGUCUCUCGAAAGCGAGUUCGAAAGGUUCUGAUGCAGGCAUGGUCCCCAGCAAAAGGUUCCGAUGCAGGCAUGGUGCCGAGCAAGGUGCAAUCUCAAAACCUUUCUGUGGUGACGUGAAUAGUAUAAUGAACGACUGCGACUGAGCCAACGUUAUAAAGUCUCACGAAUCUCGACUGCUGAGAACGACAACAGCUGUAAGAAAAAAAAACAUCGUGCGGAUAUAAAGCUUGAAAGAUGAUCCGGGAUGUCCGUCGAGAGAUGUUUGCGUUGAAACUAUUCGGGACUGAAAUCGACUCUUACUUAUGCCGCUCGUUAUCUGGAAAUAGCUUAUAUGUUUCUUAUAGUAGUAGUAUUCGGUAGUAUUGUGAAGACCAUGAGCUGCGACGAAUAGUUCGUUGAGCUACUGCGAUGGAAUGGACUUCUGGACUUCAUCGGGUAUCUCUUUUCGGCAAAGCAGUAGCAAACAUUCUGAACGACAACAUGACCAUCAAGAAUGUAACCGGAGAACGUCCUUGAUAUACGAGAUGUUGCGGUUGGUUAGCUCCCGGAAAUAAUUAGGCCUACACUACGAACCGACUUAAGCCAGGGCCGAAUUUAGCGAGAAGGGAGCCCCGGGGCCGACAGUAUGUGGGGGCCCAAAAUGUACAAAAAAGGUUGGUUUUGGUACAUAAUAUUUGUGGGGGCCCGGGGCCACGCCCCCCCCCCUCCCUCUAAAUCCGGCCCUGACUUAAGCAUUUAUCUUGGAAUACAUAUGUAGAUCAUCAGAGUGAACUAUGAGCCGUUUUGAAAUGCAAGUACGAAGCAAAGUGUAGUAUUGUCUCAGCAAGCACAUUAGUAUUAACGCAUUUGCCCAAAAGUACACGCGGCGCUACCCAAAGGAAACGACGCACCGCGUUUUUUGCUGCCCGUAUACUCGAUUCUUAUGGGGAGAUAACAUUGCGGCGUUUCCUAGGGUGCGGUUGUUCCUUUCGAAUGUGGAACGCCGCGUGGAAUCUUGUGCAAAUGCGCUUUUGGAAACAUUACAACAGCCGCGCGGUGUAUCGGAUUGACAGCACCCUACAAUAUACGACUAGGUCAGAAAGUUUCUUUCCAUAAACGUAAAAUUAUAAUGUGGAUUAAAGCGGAGGUAGAGUUAAAUCAUGCAGCAAUUUUCUGAGGAGAUACAGCCUUCAGUAAACGGCAGAUAAACAUACGACGGUCAUCGUUGCCGGCCCUUAGCAUUAUCACCAUCAGUCGCUUCGCGAUGAGCGCAACAGUUCGGUCAUCUUUAUUAUCAGCACCGAGUGUAGCAUCAGCAUGCCAAAACUGUAUUAGCAUUGUAGUGCCCAAAAACCAUCUUUUUAGCAAAAUUAAGUUUUUAUUAAGUCCGAAAAUGCAAAUAAUUUAAAAAAAUGAUGUUAUCAAAAGUUAAAUUGUAUAAAGGACCUAACUAUCUGUAUUUUCAAAAUAAUAUUUGAUGAUAAUAAAUCGA